AUGCCAGACUCCUACGGGAGGCAGCAGUGGGGGAUAUUGCGCAAUGGGGGGAACCCUGAUGCAGCGACGCCGCGUGGGUGAAGGAGCGUUUCGGCGCGUAAAGCCCUAUCGGCAGGGAAGAGGGAGGACGGUACCUGACUAAGAAGCCCCGGCUAACUACGUGCCAGCAGCCGCGGUAAUACGUAGGGGGCAAGCGUUAUCCGGAUUUACUGGGUGUAAAGGGAGCGUAGACGGUGAGACAAGUCUGAAGUGAAAGCCCGGGGCUCAACCCCGGGACUGCUUUGGAAACUGCCUGACUGGAGUGCUGGAGAGGCAAGCGGAAUUCCUAGUGUAGCGGUGAAAUGCGUAGAUAUUAGGAAGAACACCAGUGGCGAAGGCGGCUUGCUGGACAGUAACUGACGUUGAGGCUCGAAAGCGUGGGGAGCAAACAGGAUUAGAUACCCGAGUA
rnacentral:rRNA from 1 species